rnacentral:piRNA from 1 species
ACCUGCAUACCCUGUCAAAGACAGUCUUG